rnacentral:rRNA from 1 species
UAGGGAAUAUUAGAAAUGGACGAAAGUCUGAUCUAGCGACACCGCGUGUGCGAUGAAGGCCUUCGGGUUGUAAAGCACUUUUUGGAAGGAAUAGGAAGGAAGGUACUUCCAGAAUAAGUCUCGGCUAACUACGUGCCAGCAGCCGCGGUAACACGUAGGAGGCAAACGUUAUCCGGAUUUACUGGGCGUAAAGCGCGUGUAGGUGGUUCUGUAAGUAGGGCGUGAAAGCUCCCGGCUCAACUGGGAGAGGCCGUUCUAAACUGCAGAACUAGAGGAUGGUAGAGGGAGGUGGAAUUCCGGGUGUAGCGGUGGAAUGCGCAGAUAUCCGGAGGAACACCAGUGGCGAAAGCGGCCUCCUGGACCACUCCUGACACUCAGACGCGAAAGCUAGGGUAGCAAACG